CAUGGACCUUACUUUAUACCAGCAAGAUGGAA
rnacentral:piRNA from 1 species